rnacentral:rRNA from 1 species
CUACGGGCCGCUCCAGUGGGGAAUAUUGCACAAUGGAGGAAACUCUGAUGCAGCAACGCCGCGUGGAGGAUGACACUUUUCGGAGCGUAAACUCCUUUUAUAUAGGAAGAAGAUGACGGUACUAUAUGAAUAAGCGCCGGCUAACUCCGUGCCAGCAGCCACGGUAAUACGGAGGGCGCAAGCGUUACUCGGAAUCACUGGGCGUAAAGGGCGUGUAGGCGGAUUAAAAAGUCAGAAGUGAAAUCCUAUAGCUUAACUAUAGAACUGCUUCUGAAACUCUUAAUCUAGAAUAUGGGAGAGGUAGAUGGAAUUUCUGGUGUAGGGGUAAAAUCCGUAGAGAUCAGAAGGAAUACCGAUUGCGAAGGCGAUCUACUAGAACAUUAUUGACGCUGAGACGCGAAAGCGUGGGGAGCAAACAGGAUUAGAUACCCCCGUAGUC